rnacentral:rRNA from 1 species
AUUGAACGCUGGCGGCAUGCCUUACACAUGCAAGUCGAACGGCAGCGGACCUUCGGGUGCCGGCGAGUGGCGAACGGGUGAGUAAUAUAUCGGAACGUACCUUUCAGUGGGGGAUAACGUAGCGAAAGUUACGCUAAUACCGCAUAUUCUGUGAGCAGGAAAGCAGGGGAUCGCAAGACCUUGCGCUGAUUGAGCGGCCGAUAUCAGAUUAGCUAGUUGGUGAGGUAAAGGCUCACCAAGGCGACGAUCUGUAGCGGGUCUGAGAGGAUGAUCCGCCACACCGGAACUGAGACACGGUCCAGACUCCUACGGGAGGCAGCAGUGGGGAAUUUCGGACAAUGGGCGCAAGCCUGAUCCAGCCAUGCCGCGUGAGUGAAGAAGGCCUCGGUU